AAAAAUUUAGUUAAAUUAUAACAUUAGUUUGUCAAGCUAAAAUUAUUAUAGAAUAAUAAUUUUUA
rnacentral:tRNA from 1 species